rnacentral:rRNA from 1 species
GACGGAGGGGGCUAGCGUUGUUCGGAAUGACUGGGCGUAAAGGGCGCGUAGGCGGCUUUUUAAGCUGAGGCGUGAAAGCCCUGGGCUUAACCCAGGAGGUGCGUUUCAUACUGAAAAGCUUGAGUACGAGAGAGGAAAGUGGAAUUCCUAGUGUAGAGGUGAAAUUCGUAGAUAUUAGGAAGAACACCAGUGGCGAAGGCGCUUUCUGGCUCGUAACUGACGCUGAGGCGCGAAAGCGUGGGGAGCAAACAGG